rnacentral:rRNA from 1 species
AGGAUGAACGCUGGCGGCGUGCCUAAUACAUGCAAGUCGAGCGGUAAGGCCCCUUCGGGGGUACACGAGCGGCGGACGGCUGAGUAACACGUAGGAACGUACCCCAAACUGAGGGAUAAGCACCAGAAAUGGUGUCUAAUACCGCAUGCGGUCUUCGGAUUAAAGCUUCGGCGGUUUGGGAACGGCCUGCGCAUGAUUAGCUUGUUGGUGAGGUAAAAGCUUACCAAGGCGACGAUCAUUAGCUGGUCUGAGAGGAUGAUCAGCCAGACUGGGACUGAGAACGGCCCAGACUCCUACGGGAGGCAGCAGUAGGGAAUUUUCCACAAUGGGCGAAAGCCUGAUGGAGCAACGCCGCGUGCAGGACGAAGGCCUUCGGGUUGUAAACUGCUUUUAUAUGUGAAGAUUAUGACGGUAGCAUAUGAAUAAGGAUCGGCUAACUCCGUGCCAGCAGCCGC